GCUCUUCCGUGCCGUCGCUAGGACGGGUGCGUCACGUCGUGACAGGCUUCUUUGCGCUACAGUAUAUUCGACUUGAAUGGAUUGAGUCACUGACUUGAUCUUCCUGCCCAGACUUGCGCUUCCUCGGGCAUGUGCGGUGUUGGAGCUCUUCGAGGGAUAUACUCAGACUUAUCUCAGGCUGGACCUGAGCGCUAGGACCAUGCCUCAGGACUACCUGGCCCGAUGACUCUUGGCUGUCCCCAGUCCAGCUGGUCGUGCUGCUGCUUCUACCUGUGGCAGAACAGUUGGAACCCUGACCUGUUCACCGGAUGUACUAACUUGUCCCGGACCUGCUGCCUUCGAGUCUCCCUCCCUUGCUCUCUCCCUCCCUCCCUCCCUCCCUCUAUACCGCACCUGCUGUCUCGACCUAUGCUCGGUUAUGAAAAGCCAACUGACAUUUACUCCUGAGGUGCUGACCUGUCGAACCCUCUACAACCCCUGUAAUUGUUAUUUGACCCCAUGAACGUCAUCUAUGAACAUUUGAACAUCUUUAAGAACGAUCUGGCCUUAAUGGCCAUGUACUCUUUAUAAUCUGCACCCGGCACAGCCAGACGAGGACCCCUCAGAGCCUGGCUCCUCUCUAGGUUUCUUCCUAGGUUCCAGCCUUUCUAGCGAGUUCUCCUUUUUUAUUUUAUUUAACCUUUAUUUAACUAGGCAAGUCAAUUAAGAACACAUUUUUAUUUACUAUGACGGCCUACAAAUUUCCUAGCCACCUUGCCUCUACAUCUCCAUUGCUUGCUGUUUAGGGUUUUAGGCUGGGUUUCUGUGUAAGCACUUUGUGACAUCUGCUGAUGUAAAAAGGGCUAUAUGAAUACAUUUGCUUGAUUGAUGAGUGAGAGAGUUGCAGACAAACAAAUAUCAUAUCCCCAAGACAUGCUAACCUCUCACCAUUACAAAAACAGGAAAGAUUAGCAUUUUUUUUUGGUGGGGGAGGACAUGAUAUUUGUGUGUCUAACUUUCUCACUCAUCAUUAUACGAUUAAUUUACAUCCAUAAUCAUGGAAGCAUCCACAUGAAUGUCGAAACAUAUUAUACUCUUAUUUACAAUAAAAGUGACUCCAAAAUGACACAAUACAUUAUUCACCAUUCAUUUCUAUUGGACACAAAAUAAUCUGAAACAUAAAACAAAACGUCACAAGCUCUAAAUGGUUCAUAGCGAUGAAAAUACCAAGAAAUUAAAG
ensembl:lncRNA